rnacentral:pre_miRNA from 13 species
UGGGAGGAUCUGUUAAGCUCAGGAGGGAUAGCGCCAUGAGCUGAUGAUAAGUUGAUGUUUGAUGGGUUAAUCUCAACAUAAUCAAUCUAGUCAUUAGUGGCGCUAUCUAUCCUGAGUUCUAUAGGUUCUCCUU